rnacentral:rRNA from 1 species
UACGCACGCUGGCGGCGUGCCUAAUACAUGCAAGUUGAGCGCUGAAGGUUGGUACUUGUACCGACUGGAUGAGCAGCGAACGGGUGAGUAACGCGUGGGGAAUCUGCCUUUGAGCGGGGGACAACAUUUGGAAACGAAUGCUAAUACCGCAUAAAAACUUUAAACACAAGUUUUAAGUUUGAAAGAUGCAAUUGCAUCACUCAAAGAUGAUCCCGCGUUGUAUUAGCUAGUUGGUGAGGUAAAGGCUCACCAAGGCGAUGAUACAUAGCCGACCUGAGAGGGUGAUCGGCCACAUUGGGACUGAGACACGGCCCAAACUCCUACGGGAGGCAGCAGUAGGGAAUCUUCGGCAAUGGACGAAAGUCUGACCGAGCAACGCCGCGUGAGCGAAGAAGGUUGUCGGAUCGUAAAACUCUGUUGGUAGAGAAGAACGUUGGUGAGAGUGGAAAGCUCAUCAAGUGACGGUAACUACCCAGAAAGGGACGGCUAACUACGUG